CGAGCACGCGCGUGUGGCAUAUCAAUAAGCGGAGGAAAAGAAACUAACAAGGAUUCCCUUAGUAACGGCGAGUGAAGCGGGAAGAGCUCAAAUUUGAAAUCUUCAAGGUUCUACCUUGACGAAUUGUAGUUUAUAGAAGUGUUUUCUGUUAGUGGAGUGGCAAAAGUUCUUUGGAAUAGGACAUCAUAGAGGGUGAGAAUCCCGUAUUUUGUCAUUCCUCCUAGCGUUGUGAUACACUUUCAACGAGUCGGAUUGUUUGGGAAUGCAGUCCAAAAUGGGUGGUAAAUUUCAUCUAAAGCUAAAUAUUGGCGAGAGACCGAUAGCGAACAAGUACCGUGAGGGAAAGAUGAAAAGAACUUUGAAAAGAGAGUUAAACAGUACGUGAAAUUGUCAAAAGGGAAGCGUUUGACACCAGUGUUGUUUUUCCGAAAAUCACUUACGAAUAGUUUUCUAUUUUGAGGAGUAUUGACCUUAUCAGGCUUGCUCCUUUCUUUCUCGAAAUUAUUUAAUGCACUUUUCAGGUUAACAAGUCAACAUCAAUUUCUUUUGUUGUAAAAAGGGUAUGAGGAAGGUGGCUUUCUCUUCGGCGCAAGUGUUUAUAGCCUUGUAGCCUCUGCAAUCGGAGAGAUUGAGGUCUGCAGCGUAGAUCCUUCGGGGUUAGAUACGUUUGUGCUAAGUUAUAGCUUUUCAUAGACAACUUGUUGACUAUGUUUAGUCUUGUAGCUUACUCGCUGACGCUAUUUUACCUACGCUUAGGAUGUUGAACUCUAUCACACACA
rnacentral:rRNA from 1 species